CUGAACGCGGCCAUGUAUCCCCGCCUAGGAAAAAAAUUAAUUAAUAUAUUCAUUAUUUAUCUAGCUUGAUGAAUGUCUUCUUGCUGGACGACAGUUGCACUAGUCUAGUCUAUUAGUUUCUUCAUCCUUGCCCGCAAAUAGCAGAUGAAGGUUGAAUGAAUGAGAAAUUACAGCUACUAGAGGACGAGGCCGUGGAAGAGCACGAGCACGAUGAUACCAGCAAAGAGGAAAAAUAUGGAGACCAUUUGGAAGUUUUUGGAGAGGUGGUGGCGGUAGAGGCGGUAGAGGAGAUAGAGGAGGCAUAAAAGAACGUCGCUAUAACAAUUUGCUUUUACGCGCCAUUCAUACUUCAAUUGGUGUAUAUCUCCAUUUCGUAUUGACAUCACCUGUUUAGUUCGGCCACAUCCUUAGUACAGGGCAUCAAUCAUGAAUCUUUUCACCCAUCAACCGUGUAGGUAAAACGUGAAAAGCCAUGGAUGCUUCCGAAAUAUCCAGAGUUGGAUCGAGUUGAGUUAGUUUUACUAUAGUAUAUGUAUCAACUCAACCCAGCGCAUUUGCAUAGAGCAUAAUUACAUUAAAGUGAGA